CCCAGGACUCCUUGACGCCGGAACAGCUUGCGGAGGCACCUGGCGCGGAGGUGUCUUGCUUCCGACGGGUCUAGGCUCCUUGUCCCGUUCCGGUUUCUGUUUCGCGAGUGUGCGGCCCUCGUGUGGAGGAUGGCCGGGAAGUGGCUCAGAAACUGCGACUUGCAGCUGGGAUCAUUGUCCAGCCAUUUUCCAAGGCGGCUAAGGCAAUUAGGGACUGCUUUGUGAUAACAUGCUGAUUUCCAUCCAGACCAUUUCCAACUCUGGAGAUGCCCAGUGUCCCUGCCUGCCAUCUCCACUCACCCAGAGUAGUGCUUGCGGUUAGAAUCUUAUGUUGGAAAUGGAGCCAUCCAGAAGAAGACCA
ensembl:lncRNA